rnacentral:rRNA from 1 species
AACGAACGCUGGCGGCAUGCCUAACACAUGCAAGUCGAACGAGACCUUCGGGUCUAGUGGCGCACGGGUGCGUAACGCGUGGGAACCUGCCCUUAGGUUCGGAAUAACUCCCCGAAAGGGGUGCUAAUACCGGGUAAUGUCUUCGGACCAAAGUUUUAUCGCCUUUGGAUGGGCCCGCGUUGGAUUAGCUAGUUGGUAGGGUAAAAGCCUACCAAGGCGACGAUCCAUAGCUGGUCUGAGAGGAAGAUCAGCCACACUGGGACUGAGACACGGCCCAGACUCCUACGGGAGGCAGCAGUGGGGAAUAUUGGACAAUGGGCGAAAGCCUGAUCCAGCAAUGCCGCGUGAGUGAUGAAGGCCUUAGGGUUGUAAAGCUCUUUUACCCGGGAUGAUAAUGACAGUACCGGGAGAAUAAGCUCCGGCUAACUCCGUG